rnacentral:rRNA from 1 species
GUUGUAUAGUCAAGUAAUUAAGUGCAUGUGGUGGAUGCCUUGGCAGUCAGAGGCGAUGAAAGACGUGAUAGCCUGCGAAAAGCUCCGGGGAGGCGGCAAAUAUCCUUUGAUCCGGAGAUGUCUGAAUGGGGGAACCCACCUACUUUAAGGUAGGUAUUGCAACAUGAAUACAUAGUGUUGCAAGGCGAACGAGGGGAAGUGAAACAUCUCAGUACCCUUAGGAAAAGAAAUCAAUUGAGAUUCCCUCAGUAGCGGCGAGCGAACGGGGAUCAGCCCAUUAAGUUAUGUGUGUUUUAGUGGAACGCUCUGGGAAGUGCGAACGUAGAGGGUGAUAUUCCCGUACACGAAAGGGCACACAUAAUGAUGACGAGUAGGGCGAGGCACGUGAAACCUUGUCUGAAUAUGGGGGGACCAUCCUCCAAGGCUAAAUACUCCUGACUGACCGAUAGUGAACCAGUACCGUGAGGGAAAGGCGAAAAGAACCCCUGUGAGGGGAGUGAAAUAGAUCCUGAAACCGCAUGCAUACAAGCAGUGGGAGCACCUUCGUGGUGUGACUGCGUACCUUUUGUAUAAUGGGUCAGCGACUUAUAUUCAGUAGCAAGGUUAACCGUAUAGGGGAGCCGUAGAGAAAUCGAGUCUUAAUAGGGCGUUUAGUUGCUGGGUAUAGACCCGAAACCAGGCGAUCUAUCCAUGAGCAGGUUGAAGGUUGGGUAACACUAACUGGAGGACCGAACCCACUGUCGUUGAAAAGCCAGGGGAUGACUUGUGGAUAGGGGUGAAAGGCUAAUCAAGCCUGGUGAUAGCUGGUUCUCCCCGAAAGCUAUUUAGGUAGCGCCUCGGACGAAUACCAUAGGGGGUAGAGCACUGUUUCGGCUAGGGGGUCAUCCCGACUUACCAAACCGAUGCAAACUCCGAAUACCUAUGAGUACUAUCCGGGAGACAGACUGCGGGUGCUAACGUCCGUAGUCAAGAGGAAAACAAUCCAGACCGCCAGCUAAGGCCCCAAAAUCAUAGUUAAGUGGGAAACGAUGUGGGAAGGCAUAGACAGCUAGGAGGUUGGCUUAGAAGCAGCCACCCUUUAAAGAAAGCGUAAUAGCUCACUAGUCGAGUCGGCCUGCGCGGAAGAUGUAACGGGGCUAAAACUAUGUGCCGAAGCUGCGGAUNNNNNNNNNNNNNNNNNNNAUGCUGGAGGUAUCAGAAGUGCGAAUGCUGACGUGAGUAACGACAAAACGGGUGAAAAACCCGUUCGCCGAAAGACCAAGGGUUCCAGUCCAACGUUAAUCGGGGCUGGGUGAGUCGACCCCUAAGGCGAGGCCGAAAGGCGUAGUCGAUGGGAAAAUGGUUAAUAUUCCAUUACUUCUGUGUAAUGCGAUGAGAGGACGGAGAAGGCUAAAUCAGCCUGGCGUUGGUUGUCCAGGUGAAAGGAUGUAGGCAUGUAUCUUAGGCAAAUCCGGGGUACUCUAUGCUGAGAUCUGAUAGCAAGCUGUACUUGUACAGCGAAGUGGUUGAUGCCAUGCUUCCAGGAAAAGUCUCUAAGCUUCAGUUACACAGGAAUCGUACCCGAAACCGACACAGGUGGUCAGGUCGAGUAGACCAAGGCGCUUGAGAGAACUCUGCUGAAGGAACUAGGCAAAAUGGUACCGUAACUUCGGGAGAAGGUACGCUGUUGUUGGUGAUGGAACUCGCUUCCUGAGCUGACGACAGCCGCAGAAACCAGGCCGCUGCAACUGUUUAUUAAAAACAUAGCACUCUGCAAACACGAAAGUGGACGUAUAGGGUGUGAUGCCUGCCCGGUGCUGGAAGGUUAAUUGAUGGGGUUAGCGUAAGCGAAGCUCUUGAUCGAAGCCCCAGUAAACGGCGGCCGUAACUAUAACGGUCCUAAGGUAGCGAAAUUCCUUGUCGGGUAAGUUCCGACCUGCACGAAUGGCAUAAUGAUGGCGGCGCUGUCUCCAGCAGAGGCUCAGUGAAAUCGAAAUCGCUGUGAAGAUGCAGUGUACCCGCGGCUAGACGGAAAGACCCCGUGAACCUUUACUGCAGCUUGACACUGAACUUUGACCUUACUUGUGUAGGAUAGGUGGGAGGCUUUGAAGCUGGAACGCUAGUUCCAGUGGAGCCGUCCUUGAAAUACCACCCUGGUAAUGUUGAGGUUCUAACUCUGUCCCGUGAUCCGGGACGAGGACCGUGUCUGGUGGGUAGUUUGACUGGGGCGGUCUCCUCCUAAAGAGUAACGGAGGAGUACGAAGGUGCGCUCAGCGUGGUCGGAAAUCACGCGUAGAGUAUAAAGGCAAAAGCGCGCUUAACUGCGAGACCCACAAGUCGAGCAGGUACGAAAGUAGGUCUUAGUGAUCCGGUGGUUCUGUAUGGAAGGGCCAUCGCUCAACGGAUAAAAGGUACUCUGGGGAUAACAGGCUGAUACCGCCCAAGAGUUCAUAUCGACGGCGGUGUUUGGCACCUCGAUGUCGGCUCAUCUCAUCCUGGGGCUGAAGCAGGUCCCAAGGGUAUGGCUGUUCGCCAUUUAAAGAGGUACGCGAGCUGGGUUUAGAACGUCGUGAGACAGUUCGGUCCCUAUCUACCGUGGGCGCUGGAAAUUUGAGAGGAUCUGCUCCUAGUACGAGAGGACCAGAGUGGACGAACCUCUGGUGUACCGGUUGUGACGCCAGUCGCAUCGCCGGGUAGCUAUGUUCGGAAGGGAUAACCGCUGAAAGCAUCUAAGCGGGAAGCCUACCUCAAGAUAAGAUUUCCCUAGGACUUUAUGUCCUCUAAAGAGCCGUUCGAGACUAGGACGUUGAUAGGUUGGAUGUGGAAGCAUAGUGAUAUGUGAAGCUGACCAAUACUAAUUGCUCGUGAGGCUUGACUAUACAACACCCAAGCAGUUG